rnacentral:rRNA from 1 species
GAUGAACGCUGGCGGCGUGCCUAAUACAUGCAAGUCGAGCGAACGGACGAGAAGCUUGCUUCUCUGAUGUUAGCGGCGGACGGGUGAGUAACACGUGGAUAACCUACCUAUAAGACUGGGAUAACUUCGGGAAACCGGAGCUAAUACCGGGUAAUAUUUUGAACCGCAUGGUUCAAAAGUGAAAGACGGUCUUGCUGUCACUUAUAGAUGGAUCCGCGCUGCAUUAGCUAGUUGGUAAGGUAACGGCUUACCAAGGCAACGAUGCAUAGCCGACCUGAGAGGGUGAUCGGCCACACUGGAACUGAGACACGGUCCAGACUCCUACGGGAGGCAGCAGUAGGGAAUCUUCCGCAAUGGGCGAAAGCCUGACGGAGCAACGCCGCGUGAGUGAUGAAGGUCUUCGGAUCGUAAAACUCUGUUAUUAGGGAAGAACAUAUGUGUAAGUAACUGUGCACAUCUUGACGUUACCUAAUCAGAAAGCCACGGCUAACUACGUG